rnacentral:rRNA from 1 species
GAUCCUGGCUCAGAAUCAACGCUGGCGGCGUGCCUAACACAUGCAAGUCGUACGAGAAAGUGGAGCAAUCCAUGAGUAAAGUGGCGACCGGGUGAGUAACACGUGACUACCUACCUCUUAGUGGGGGAUAACUCCGGGAAACCGGAGCUAAUACCGCAUAACAUCGCAAGAUCAAAGCCGAAAGGCGCUGGGAGAGGGGGUCGCGGCUGAUUAGCUAGUUGGUAGGGUAACGGCCUACCAAGGCGAAGAUCGGUAUCCGGCCUGAGAGGGCGCACGGACACACUGGAACUGAAACACGGUCCAGACUCCUACGGGAGGCA